CCUACGGGUGGCAGCAGUAGGGAAUUUUCGUCAAUGGGCGCAAGCCUGAACGAGCGAUGCCGCGUGAGUGAAGAAGGCCUUCGGGUCGUAAAGCUCUGUUGAGGGGGAAAAAAGACAGCAUCAGGAAAUGGGUGCUGACUGAUGGUGUCCCGCCAGAAAGUCACGGCUAACUACGUGCGAGGAGCCGCGGUAAAACGUAGGAGGCGGGUGUUAUCCGGAAUGAUUGGGAGGAAAGGGUACGCAGGCGGGUCUGAAAGGCUGGAGUGAAACGGAUGAGCUCAAAUCAUACAUGGCUUUGGAAACUGGAGGACUGGAGAGCAGGAGAGGGCGGUGGAACUCCAUGUGUAGCGGUAAAAUGCGUAGAUAUAUGGAAGAACACCAGUGGCGAAGGCGGCCGCCUGGCCUGUUGCUGACGCUGAGGCACGAAAGCGUGGGGAGCAAAUAGGAUUAGAUACCCGUGUAGUC
rnacentral:rRNA from 1 species